UUUGAUCAAAAGCCUUAAGGUCUUUUGUUAUCAAAGGGAGAAAACUCAACCUAAACCAACAAUCCACCAUGUGAGGAGGGCUUCAACAUGCUAGUGAGGGGUUAACCCUAUAAUAAGCAUGGAAGACUUAUAAUCCAAUCACUAAGGAUGAGGUGAGAUUUACAUCAACCACUAUGAUAACUCAAACCUAUGACUAAUGUUUUU
rnacentral:lncRNA from 1 species